GAUGAAGAACGUAGCGAAAUGCGAUAAGUAGUGUGAAUUGCAGAAUUCAGUGAAUCAUCGAAUCUUUGAACGCACAUUGCGCCCCUUGGUAUUCCAUGGGGCAUGCCUGUUCGAGCGUCAUUUGUACCUUCAAGCUCUGCUUGGUGUUGGGUGUUUGUCUCGCCUCUGCGCGCAGACUCGCCUCAAACAAUUGGCAGCCGGCGUAUUGAUUUCGGAGCGCAGUACAUCUCGCGCUUUGCACUCAUAACGACGACGUCCAUAAAGUACAUUUUUUACACUCUUGACCUCGGAUCAGGUAGGGAUACCCGCUGAACUUAAGCAUAUCAAUAAGCGGAGGA
rnacentral:misc_RNA from 1 species